GACGUAGGGCGCAAGCGUUGUCCGGAUUUAUUGGGCGUAAAGAGCUCGUAGGCGGCUUGUUGCGUCGACUGUGAAAAACCACGUCUCAACCGUGGGACUGCAGUCGAUACGGGCAGGCUAGAGUUCGGUAGGGGAGACUGGAAUUCCUGGUGUAGCGGUGAAAUGCGCAGAUAUCAGGAGGAACACCGGUGGCGAAGGCGGGUCUCUGGGCCGAUACUGACGCUGAGGAGCGAAAGCGUGGGGAGCGAACAGGAUUAGAUACCCUGGUAGUCCACGCUGUAAACGUUGGGCGCUAGGUGUGGGGGGCCUCUCCGGUCCUCGGUGCCGCAGCUAACGCAUUAAGCGCCCCGCCUGGGGAGUACGGCCGCAAGGCUAAA
rnacentral:rRNA from 1 species